rnacentral:rRNA from 14 species
AUUGCGGCACACACGUUUGUGGGCCUUGCACACAGUGCCCCAGAGAGCAGGAGAACCAGCGUGGCCUGACGCCACUAUCCUGACGGGAG